CCCUUAGAGUUUGAUCCUGGCUCAGAUUGAACGCUGGCGGCAGGCCUAACACAUGCAAGUCGAGCGGUAACAGAUUGAUAGCUUGCUAUCGAUGCUGACGAGCGGCGGACGGGUGAGUAAUGCCUGGGAAUAUGCCCUGAUGUGGGGGAUAACUAUUGGAAACGAUAGCUAAUACCGCAUAAUCUCUUUGGAGCAAAGAGGGGGACCUUCGGGCCUCUCGCGUCAGGAUUAGCCCAGGUGGGAUUAGCUUGUUGGUGGGGUAAUGGCUCACCAAGGCAACGAUCCCUAGCUGGUCUGAGAGGAUGAUCAGCCACACUGGAACUGAGACACGGUCCAGACUCCUACGGGAGGCAGCAGUGGGGAAUAUUGCACAAUGGGGGAAACCCUGAUGCAGCCAUGCCGCGUGUAUGAAGAAGGCCUUCGGGUUGUAAAGUACUUUCAGUUGUGAGGAAGGCAGUAAAGUUAAUAGCUUUGCUGUUUGACGUUAGCAACAGAAGAAGCACCGGCUAACUCCGUGCCAGCAGCCGCGGUAAUACGGAGGGUGCGAGCGUUAAUCGGAAUUACUGGGCGUAAAGCGCAUGCAGGUGGUUUGUUAAGCAAGAUGUGAAAGCCCGGGGCUCAACCUCGGAACAGCAUUUUUGAACUGGCAGACUAGAGUACUGUAGAGGGGGGGUAGAAUUUUC
rnacentral:rRNA from 1 species